rnacentral:rRNA from 1 species
UACGGAGGGUGCGAGCGUUAAUCGGAAUUACUGGGCGUAAAGUGUGCGCAGGCGGCCGAUCAAGUCGAGUGUGAAAGCCCCGAGCUUAACUUGGGAACUGCGCUCGAAACUACUUGGCUAGAGUGUGGCAGAGGGAGGUGGAAUUCCACGUGUAGCGGUGAAAUGCGUAGAGAUGUGGAGGAACACCGAUGGCGAAGGCAGCCUCCUGGGCCAACACUGACGCUCAUGCACGAAAGCGUGGGGAGCAAACAGG